rnacentral:tRNA from 7 species
GUUCGAGUCCCUUUUUUUGCU